rnacentral:rRNA from 1 species
AUUGAACGCUGGCGGCAUGCCUUACACAUGCAAGUCGAACGGUAACAGGUCUUUCGGGAUGCUGACGAGUGGCGAACGGGUGAGUAAUACAUCGGAACGUGCCUAGUAGUGGGGGAUAACUACUCGAAAGAGUGGCUAAUACCGCAUGAGAUCUAUGGAUGAAAGCAGGGGACCUUUGGGCCUUGUGCUACUAGAGCGGCCGAUGGCAGAUUAGGUAGUUGGUGGGAUAAAAGCUUACCAAGCCUACGAUCUGUAGCUGGUCUGAGAGGACGAUCAGCCACACUGGGACUGAGACACGGCCCAGACUCCUACGGGAGGCAGCAGUGGGGAAUUUUGGACAAUGGGCGCAAGCCUGAUCCAGCAAUGCCGCGUGCAGGAUGAAGGCCUUCGGGUUGUAAACUGCUGUUGUACGGAACGAAAAGUAUUGGGUUAAUACCCUGGGAUCAUGACGGUACCGUAAGAAUAAGCACCGGCUAACUACGUG